ensembl:lncRNA novel transcript
CUUUCUAAGGAAGUUUGGCUGAAGGAUAGACUAGCUGGACACAUGCUGGCUGUGUGGGGUAGAGGGAGGAAUGAUGGAGGGUAGGAGAGCCUUGAGCCUGCGAGAAGAGUCUCUUAGAAUAGAGAAGCUGAAGUUAAAGUUGUGGAAGAGAGUGGGGAUAACUGAGUGACAGAUAAUCAGGAGAAGAAAAGGAGAUCCAGACUCAUGACAGAGAGAUGACCUUUGCCAAGAGCACAGCCGUCUUUCACGGUCACAGAGAGGUAGGACAAAAUGAGUGGUGUUCAAGAAUUGGUUUGUAGCACAAUAUUUCAACUAUGUCCUUUAAAAAGUUUCUCCACAGACACUACCCAAAGCAGUGCUUCACUACAGUGGCAGACAGACCUGAAAAUUUUCAUCUGAAGCAGCAGAGUGAACUGCAGAGGCAGGUCACCAACCAGUGUGGAGGCUAAAAGCGGGCCUCUUUGGGGAUUCCAGGUGGAAGUGUUGGACAUCUGUAGUAUUCCUGGUCUCGAAUCAUCCUGAUAUUCUUCAUUUUGUUAUUCACAUUGGACUAGGCAGGAACAAAGAUCACCACAACUGGCUCCCCUUCAACUAUGUUAGAUGGCAACUUGCCUUCAGUAUGGUGAAACACAUCAGUUAAGACCGGGGUUGUGCAUGGCAGGACUUUCUACAAGGACACCCAGUCUCCUUAAUAAACAUGAGAUGCUCUCUUUCCAGAAUUUCUCUUGCCUGACACAGCAUAGGAAGAUGCUGAACGGCCACACAGUGAUCCAUUGGUCAGUGGUGACAUAAGGAGGUCAGAGGGGAGGAGUGAGGAGAAGUAGGGAAGACUAGGUGGUUGUAGGCCUCCUUCAUCUGUUCAUUGGCUGUGGCAUUAGGCCAGCUACUCUUUGCACUUCUGUAAAGUGAGACGGUCGAUCUUGUCUGCCUCUCUAGAGGAUGGUUGCAGGUGUCAAAUGGGGUAGUUAGGUGGGAGGGCAUUUCACAAAGUUAAAAAAUAUGACUUUGGAGGCUUGUUAUAUUGAUGAGGAUUAUAAUCCCUGAGAAUUCCUGGUAUGAAGAAGGGAAAAGAAGAUAAUUUGUGAAAGAAAUGUGUCCAGUUACUAGUCUUUGAAAAGGGUCAGUCUGUAGCUCUUCUUAAUGAGAAUAGGCAGCUUUCAGUUGCUC